rnacentral:rRNA from 1 species
GAUGAACGCUGGCGGCGUGCCUAAUACAUGCAAGUCGAGCGAACAGACGAGGAGCUUGCUUCUCUGACGUUAGCGGCGGACGGGUGAGUAACACGUGGAUAACCUACCUAUAAGACUGGGAUAACUUCGGGAAACCGGAGCUAAUACCGGAUAAUAUAUUGAACCGCAUGGUUCAAUAGUGAAAGACGGUUUUGCUGUCACUUAUAGAUGGAUCCGCGCCGCAUUAGCUAGUUGGUAAGGUAACGGCUUACCAAGGCAACGAUGCGUAGCCGACCUGAGAGGGUGAUCGGCCACACUGGAACUGAGACACAGUCCAGACUCCUACGGGAGGCAGCAGUAGGGAAUCUUCCGCAAUGGGCGAAAGCCUGACGGAGCAACGCCGCGUGAGUGAUGAAGGUCUUCGGAUCGUAAAACUCUGUUAUUAGGGAAGAACAAAUGUGUAAGUAACUAUGCACGUCUUGACGGUACCUAAUCAGAAAGCCACGGCUAACUACGUG